rnacentral:rRNA from 1 species
GACGAACGCUGGCGGCGUGCUUAACACAUGCAAGUCGAACGGAAAGGCCCUGCUUGCAGGGUGCUCGAGUGGCGAACGGGUGAGUAACACGUGGGUGAUCUGCCCCUUACUUUGGGAUAAGCCUGGGAAACUGGGUCUAAUACUGGAUAGGACCAUGCUGUAGGUGGUGUGGUGGAAAGAUUUUUUCGGUAAGGGAUGAGCUCGCGGCCUAUCAGCUUGUUGGUGGGGUAAUGGCCUACCAAGGCGUCGACGGGUAGCCGGCCUGAGAGGGUGGACGGCCACAUUGGGACUGAGAUACGGCCCAGACUCCGACGGGAGGCAGCAGUGGGGAAUAUUGCACAAUGGGCGCAAGCCUGAUGCAGCGACGCCGCGUGGGGGAUGACGGCCUUCGGGUUGUAAACUCCUUACAGCCAUGACGAAGCCUCUUUUGGGGUGACGGUAGUGGUAGAAGAAGCACCGGCUAACUACGUG